UACGAAGGGGGCUAGCGUUGUUCGGAAUCACUGGGCGUAAAGCGCACGUAGGCGGAUUGUUAAGUCGGGGGUGAAAUCCUGAGGCCCAACCUCAGAACUGCCUUCGAUACUGGCAAUCUCGAGUCCGGAAGAGGUUGGUGGAACAGCUAGUGUAGAGGUGAAAUUCGUAGAUAUUAGCUAGAACACCAGUGGCGAAGGCGGCCAACUGGUCCGGUACUGACGCUGAGGUGCGAAAGCGUGGGGAGCAAACAGG
rnacentral:rRNA from 1 species